AUUCUUCUGCAGACCUCCUCCUUCACUCCACCUUCCGCUCCUCCCAUCAUAUAUCUUCCAAUCCACCAUUUAUGCUCUUCUUCUGGCACCCUUGUCCCCCAAUACUGGAGGCCAUUUAAAAAAUUUGUUUUUGCGCCUCUCUCUGUCUCGCAAACUCUCCGGGCGUCUUCGGCUCUCCGCCCUCUCGUUUCCGGCUCUCCACCAUCGGCAUCUUCAGCCCUCCGCCCUCGGCUUCUCCGGCUCUCUGCCCUCGGUGUUUCCGACUCUCUGCUCUCAUCAUGUCUCUCAGUCUCCCAGCCUCUCCGGUUCUGGUUCUCCACCCCCAGAGGGCUUUCAAGUUCGAAGCCCCUCUCUCAGCAUAUCUGUGAGGUUGCUGGUUUCGACCUUUAAUUUUGCUUGGAGGGAGUCUGGUGUUUAACGGUCUUUUGCAACUUGUGUGGAGAAAAUUAUGCUGAAAAGUUGAUUAGCUACUCCGAAGCAUGGACCUGGGAACUGAUGCUGCUGGUUAUGAGGUUAUCAAGAGUUUGGCUUCAAUGUGAAAGUGGGAUUCCACCUCAAGACAUUUAGAGUAUUUAUAGGCUAUUUCCCACCAAGAUUUACAUUCAAAAAUAUGUAAUGAUUAUUUUGUAGCAUGCUUGCUUCUAUUGGAACUUGUAAAGCAAUUAAUAGCUGGCUUGGGAAAA